rnacentral:rRNA from 1 species
GUGCCUACGGGACGCAGCAGUAGGGAAUCUUUCACAAUGGGCGAAAGCCUGAUGGAGCAACGCCGCGUGAGGGAAGAAGGCCCUGCGGGUCGCAGACCUCUUUGGACGGGGAGCAAGGCCGCCGACGUGUCGGCGGAAGGAGAGUACCCGUAGAACAAGCAUCGGCUAACUCCGUGCCAGCAGCCGCGGUAAUACGGAGGAUGCGAGCGUUAUCCGGAUUUAUUGGGUUUAAAGGGUGCGCAGGCGGCACGGCAAGCCGGCGGUCAAAUCGCGGAGCUCAACCCCGCCCAGCCGUCGGAACUGCC